rnacentral:rRNA from 1 species
AUUGAACGCUGGCGGCAUGCCUUACACAUGCGAGUCGAACGGUAACAGGUCCUCGGAUGCUGACGAGUGGCGAACGGGUGAGUAAUACAUCGGAACGUGCCUAGUAGUGGGGGAUAACUACUCGAAAGAGUGGCUAAUACCGCAUGAGAUCUACGGAUGAAAGCAGGGGAUCGCAAGACCUUGUGCUACUAGAGCGGCCGAUGGCAGAUUAGGGAGUUGGUGGGAUAAAAGCUUACCAAGCCGACGAUCUGUAGCUGGUCUGAGAGGACGAUCGGCCACACUGGGACUGAGACACGGCCCAGACUCCUACGGGAGGCAGCAGUGGGGAAUUUUGGACAAUGGGCGAAAGCCUGAUCCAGCAAUGCCGCGUGCAGGAUGAAGGCCUUCGGGUUGUAAACUGCUUUUGUACGGAACGAAAAGCCCCGGGUUAAUACCCUGGGGUCAUGACGGUACCGUAAGAAUAAGCACCGGCUAACUACGUGCCAGCCGCCGCAGUAA